UACAGAGGUCUCAACCGUUGUUCGGAUUCAUUGGGCGUAAAGGGUGCGUAGGCGGUCGCGCAAGUCGGGUGUGAAAUCUCAGGGCUCAACCCUGAAACUGCAUUCGAUACUGCGUGGCUCGAGUGCUGGAGAGGAGACUGGAAUUUACGGUGUAGCAGUGAAAUGCGUAGAUAUCGUAAGGAAGACCAGUGGCGAAGGCGAGUCUCUGGACAGCAACUGACGCUGAGGCACGAAGGCCAGGGGAGCAAACGGG
rnacentral:rRNA from 1 species